CGGGCUGUGGCCUAGCUUGGUUAUGGCGCCGGCCUGGGGGGCCGGAGAUCCCGAGUUCAAAUCUCGGCAGCCCGA
rnacentral:tRNA from 1 species